CGAAACCCUACUUCGUAUAUUCUAACACGUAAACACAUUAUAGUUUAUAAUACGACCUUUAAACACAUAACACGAAAUAUUAUAAUUAAAAACUAAUUUUAUUCAAUAAUUAUUUUUAAGUCUAAUUACAAGACUAUUCAAUUUCUCGGGUCGUCACAAGAAUCAACUGCUCAUCCAUACCCAAUUUACCAGGAUGGAUCAAGUAACAUCUUGAAUUCUAAAACUUUGUUUGGCAGUACUAUGAUUUAAAAAUUUGGACUGAACGUAAUAGAAGAGUUCAUGGUAAACAUCCUUCCACUGCUGCUUCCCGAUCUUGCUCAAGACUACAUUAGGAUAGUCAAAUGUAGAGUGUGUUCUGAUAAAAAAAAAUUAGUAAAUAUGUAGACAAACUUCCUCAUCUUAGGGUUUGGCAAACAUACUCUUUUUUGCUAUAGCAAUGGCAUCAUUGGCAUGUUUCGUCUUUCCUCUUCAUAUAAACGCUAGCAUGUUAUUCGAAAAAUCAAAAAAACGUAAAAAAUAUUUUUAGCGUGAAUAGUGUUUUUUAAGUCUUUUUCCCGAAUUUUUUUUACUUUCUUAUACGAAACCCUACUUCGUAUAUUCUAACACGUAAACACAUUAUAGUUUAUAAUACGACCUUUAAACACAUAACACGAAAUAUUAUAAUUAAAAACUAAUUUUAUUCAAUAAUUAUUUUUAAGUCUAAUUACAAGACUAUUCAAUUUCUCGGGUCGUCACAAGAAUCAACUGCUCAUCCAUACCCAAUUUACCAGGAUGGAUCAAGUAACAUCUUGAAUUCUAAAACUUUGUUUGGCAGUACUAUGAUUUAAAAAUUUGGACUGAACGUAAUAGAAGAGUUCAUGGUAAACAUCCUUCCACUGCUGCUUCCCGAUCUUGCUCAAGACUACAUUAGGAUAGUCAAAUGUAGAGUGUGUUCUGAAAAAAAAAUUAGUAAAUAUGUAGACAAACUUCCUCAUCUUAGGGUUUGGCAAACAUACUCUUUUUUGCUAUAGCAAUGGCAUCAUUGGCAUGUUUCGUCUUUCCUCUUCAUAUAAACGCUAGCAUGUUAUUCGAAAAAUCAAAAAAACGUAAAAAAUAUUUUUAGCGUGAAUAGUGUUUUUUAAGUCUUUUUCCCGAAAUUUUUUUACUUUCUUAUACGAAACCCUACUUCGUAUAUUCUAACACGUAAACACAUUAUAGUUUAUAAUACGACCUUUAAACACAUAACACGAAAUAUUAUAAUUAAAAACUAAUUUUAUUCAAUAAUUAUUUUUAAGUCUAAUUACAAGACUAUUCAAUUUCUCGGGUCGUCACAAGAAUCAACUGCUCAUCCAUACCCAAUUUACCAGGAUGGAUCAAGUAACAUCUUGAAUUCUAAAACUUUGUUUGGCAGUACUAUGAUUUAAAAAUUUGGACUGAACGUAAUAGAAGAGUUCAUGGUAAACAUCCUUCCACUGCUGCUUCCCGAUCUUGCUCAAGACUACAUUAGGAUAGUCAAAUGUAGAGUGUGUUCUGAUAAAAAAAUUAGUAAAUAUGUAGACAAACUUCCUCAUCUUAGGGUUUGGCAAACAUACUCUUUUUUGCUAUAGCAAUG
rnacentral:lncRNA from 1 species